rnacentral:rRNA from 1 species
GACGAACGCUGGCGGCGUGCUUAACACAUGCAAGUCGAACGAAGUGGCGAACGGGUGAGUAAUGCGUAAUCAACCUGCCCUUCAGAGGGGGACAACAGUUGGAAACGACUGCUAAUCCCGCAUACUGAAGGAGGGGAUUGCGUCGGAUUAGCUAGGUGGAGGGGUAACGGCCAACCAAGGCGAUGAUCAGUAGCCGGGCUGAGAGGAUGAACGGCCACAUUGGGACUGGGACACGGCCCAGACUCCUACGGGAGGCAGCAGUGGGGAAUCUUCCGCAAUGGACGGAAGUCUGACGAAGCAACGCCGCGUGAGUGAUGAAGGCCUUCGGGUUGUAAAGCUCUGUUAAGCGGGACGCGGUACCGGAAUAGAAAGCCACGGCUAACUACGUGCCAGCAGCCGCGGUAAUUC